ACGGGAGGCAGCAGUGGGGGAUAUUGCACAAUGGGGGAAACCCUGAUGCAGCAACGCCGCGUGAGGGAAGACGGUCUUCGGAUUGUAAACCUAAGUUGUCAGGGACGAAUUUUGACGGUACCUGAAGAGAAAGCUCCGGCUAACUACGUGCCAGCAGCCGCGGUAAUACGUAGGGAGCGAGCGUUGUCCGGAUUUACUGGGUGUAAAGGGUGCGUAGGCGGGUCUGCAAGUCAGACGUGAAAUGCCGGGGCUUAACUCCGGAGCUGCGUUUGAAACUGUAGAUCUUGAGUGAAGUAGAGGCAAGCGGAAUUCCUAGUGUAGCGGUGAAAUGCGUAGAUAUUAGGAGGAACACCAGUGGCGAAGGCGGCUUGCUGGGCUUUAACUGACGCUGAGGCACGAAAGCGUGGGGAGCAAACAGGAUUAGAUACCCUGGUA
rnacentral:rRNA from 1 species